CGCGGUUCUCGGACUCCUCUUUUGGUGCCAGUACAUUUGCCGUUGUUGCCAUUAAUUGAAGGAAAACGGCUAGGCGAGGAUGAUAACAUUAUACGCCUGUUCAACGCGCUUCCUCGCGUUCCGAGAGGCGGCGGCUAUCAGCCUCUAGAUCAACAGUAUAGCCUGUUUACAUACAGGUAUUUUAUUGGGCUGGGCUCGGAGAGUGUUCCGGACGUGAAUAUUGGCAAUUGUCUUGGGACAUUAACUUGACCGAGUUUUGGGUGCCAAUGCCGAAGACCGCAACCCAUUAAAGCAAUAUAAUGAUGGCAACACUAGGUGUUUACCCUCAUUUAAAACUGCAUGACCAGAAUAUCUAAAACAAUUUUCUUAAUAUUAUUCGCAU